rnacentral:rRNA from 1 species
UGCCAGCCGCCGCGGUAACACGGAGGGUGCGAACGUUGUUCGGAAUCACUGGGCAUAAAGCGCGCGUAGGCUGCCCUGUAAGUGUGAAGUGAAAGCCCACGGCUCAACCGUGGAAUUGCUUUGCAUACUGCAGGGCUAGAGGACGGUAGGGGAGAGCGGAACUCCUGGUGGAGCAGUGAAUGCGUAGAUAUCAGGAGGAACACCGGCGGCGAAGGCGGCUCUCUGGAACGUUUCUGACGCUGAGGUGCGAAAGCCAGGGUAGCGAACGGGAUUAGAUA